rnacentral:piRNA from 1 species
GGUACUAUAGAUGUUUAAGUAGGGUC